UGGAUCCAGACUUUGAUCAUGGCUCAGGAUGAACGCUAGCUACAGGCUUAACACAUGCAAGUCGAGGGGAAACGACAUCGAAAGCUUGCUUUUGAUGGGCGUCGACCGGCGCACGGGUGAGUAACGCGUAUCCAACCUGCCCACCACUUGGGGAUAACCUUGCGAAAGUAAGACUAAUACCCAAUGAUAUCUCUAGAAGACAUCUGAAGGAGAUUAAAGAUUUAUCGGUGAUGGAUGGGGAUGCGUCUGAUUAGCUUGUUGGCGGGGUAACGGCCCACCAAGGCAACGAUCAGUAGGGGUUCUGAGAGGAAGGUCCCCCACAUUGGAACUGAGACACGGUCCAAACUCCUACGGGAGGCAGCAGUGAGGAAUAUUGGUCAAUGGACGAGAGUCUGAACCAGCCAAGUAGCGUGCAGGAUGACGGCCCUAUGGGUUGUAAACUGCUUUUAUAAGGGAAUAAAGUGAGUCUCGUGAGACUUUUUGCAUGUACCUUAUGAAUAAGGACCGGCUAAUUCCGUGCCAGCAGCCGCGGUAAUACGGAAGGUCCGGGCGUUAUCCGGAUUUAUUGGGUUUAAAGGGAGCGUAGGCCGGAGAUUAAGCGUGUUGUGAAAUGUAGACGCUCAACGUCUGCACUGCAGCGCGAACUGGUUUCCUUGAGUACGCACAAAGUGGGCGGAAUUCGUGGUGUAGCGGUGAAAUGCUUAGAUAUCACGAAGAACUCCGAUUGCGAAGGCAGCUCACUGGAGCGCAACUGACGCUGAAGCUCGAAAGUGCGGGUAUCGAACAGGAUUAGAUACCCUGGUAGUCCGCACGGUAAACGAUGGAUGCCCGCUGUUGGUCUGAAUAGGUCAGCGGCCAAGCGAAAGCAUUAAGCAUCCCACCUGGGGAGUACGCCGGCAACGGUGCAACUCAAAUGAAUUGACGGA
rnacentral:rRNA from 1 species